CUUUCUCAUUGCUGAAGCCUGUUGAGGAAGACCCUGUGGAAGUUCUCUCCUGGGUCUGAACACAAGCCAGUGUUGGUUGCAUCGGCCUUCCUGGUGCUUGGCUCCUUCUCAGCCUUGCUUCCAACUCUCGCUUUCUGAGUCCAACAACGUGCUGCGUUUUAUUGUUCCGAUUUUCUCUUAACCCAAACUGCAGUGGCAUAGACAGCAAAGGGGCUGGCUGAGAAGGCAGCAUUGGAGACGCAGUUAGAAAUAAAAACCGGAGAGCUCUGAGCCCGCUGCGGGUCUCCUGAGACAAACAUGUGAAGCCCCUCCUUGGCCUGCUCUGCCGCAAGUCAUUAAUCAACUUCUUACACCUCAUCUGAAGGAGGGACAGCUCCGUUUCCUCUCCCUGCCAGCCAGCUGGACGAGCACUAGGGAGGACCGGCUCAGAGCCCUGGGUGGCACAUCCUCAGCCGCGACGGAGCGCAGUGUGUUUGGGUGUCGCCCUUGGGGCUACUCGUGAGGUGACCACUUGUGUACGGUGCCUGAUGCUUCUGUUGCUGGAGCAAUGGAGAAAGAUACCACUUGGCCACAGGCCUUCAAGAUUUUAUCAGUUUUCUCCGAGGACUCACAUGUCAGAGGCACUGUGGGGACCACGGGACAUUCCCUGGUAGGUGGCUUUUAAGUAAAGAAAGAGACAAAAAAACCCCACAAAGAGCAGCUUGAGACAUUGUACACAGGCUCAGUUGGUCACACUGUGUUCGAGUCGUUACCCUUAUUUCUGCACAGUGACUUCUUUCAUCUCCAGACACCAGGAUCUCCAAGGUGCCUUGCAGCCUCCCGGCGACAGGCAGCAUCACACCCCACACUCUUUGUAUAAUGCUCCUACUUCCUAAGCGUCUCUGCAGGUUGCAUAACUCCACACCUGUUGCCUUGUUUAUAAAGAAUAAUAACAUGACGUCACAGGAGAAAGGACAGGGCUGUGAAGGGCCAGGAGCAAUGCCAUGCACAAACGGGCUCUCACUAGCUUCCCCUCUCCCAGGUCCCCUUCUUCCGGACUCAGCUGCAUAAACACAUGUCAGAGCUGUGGGUAGGCUUUCCCCGAACCCCACGACCACCACGACCACCGAGGCAGGGCCCUAGCCUGAACUUAGUGCUCCAGGACAAGAGACUGAGACUUGUCUUUUUAUUUUCAUUUUCCCUAUUUUUGGGGGGUCUGUGUGAUUUCUUGGCAACAGCCCCACUGGUGGUGGGAAAAUAUGUGCUUGCUAUUUGGGGAGCAGCAGCUUGCUCCUGGAGCCCCUCCCCUCUGAUACUCCUGCAACGCAGAGCUCCGUGCUGCACGCCCUCCCCUCAGAGUGGCGUCCAGAGUCUGUCUUGCUGUCAGUGAAACUGGCCUCAGAAGCAUCUUUCAGCUGCUUCAAAUUUGGCUUGGGAUUGACAGUCUCCCCUUCUCUUCUGGUUAGUCUCGUGGUGGCCUGCUUCCUCCUCCCCAGGAAAGCAGAAGAGCUUGGCCCACUCCUGCACUUCUGCUCCUCCGGGUGGUUCUGCCGUCUGCCCAGUGGCUCAGGUAUGAGCUCUCAUGCUAUCCUCCCUGCGGAAUCCUCCUCCUUGUCACAUUGUGUCACCCCUUGGCAUCUUUUGGCUUGAUUUCCUUCACGCUCUCCAUCCGGUGCUGUGCUGUGCUCCCUUCUAUGGCUCCUCAUGCGUUCUCCAUUCUAAGCAGCAAACAUACUGAAUUAUAUUCAUUUGUUCUCCUAUUUUUCCCACGGGUCUUUGAAAGUUCUGGAGGACAGGGCCUACGCAUUAUGUGUUUCUUUAUCCUCGGUGCCUAGUACACUGUUUCAAGUAAAUGUUUCCUACAGAAAUAAAAGAAUAAGUGCAAAAUAUUGCGCCUGAAAUUGGAAAGACUUCUGUGCCAGCGAGCAGAUCAGGGUUUGAGGAGGAGCUUUCUAAAGCUGCACAUUGCACUUGCAGUCCUAGCUCGUCCACCUCGGGCCCCAGUGAGAUGGUGCCCACUGAUUGUUAUCAACCCUCAGUGACUGGUUGGCCCACUCUGUGGCACAGCAGAGAGUGUUCCAAGGAAGCAGGCUGCCCUGGUGGCUGCUCCCUGGCAACUUGACACGUUCCAAGCUGGGCUUCUGUGUUUCCACACCCUCUGUUCCGCACUCCAGAGAGAUCUGUGAGCGUCACACAGCGCCUCUCCCGGCUCCUCUACGCUGCCAUCCAGUUGGUCACUAAGUUUGCCACCACAUUUUCACAACAUCUCGUGAGUUGGUCUGCUCCUCCACAGUGCUGCUCAGUUCCUGCCCUCAUCAGUACUGAGCCGAACUUCUGCACUAGGCGGACCAACUUCCCCAGCAGAGCCAAGCAGCACUGCAGAGAGCAGAGUUCUCUGCUGACACGUGCUUCACGGAGCUCUGUGGGUGUCCUUCUCUGCCUGCUAGACUGUGAGCCAGUGGGUGCAGGAAGUAUGUGCACUCCAUAAAUGUAUGAUUCAGUUUCCGUUAAUGCAAUUUGAAACUUAUGGACAGUGAGCUUAAAGAAAAAGAGACUUAACUUUCUUUACCCAUUAAUUGUUUAUAUUUUAUUCUAUUUAAUCUUGAUAUUUCCUGAUCGAGAAAUAGGUAGAUAGGUAGGUGGAUAGAUAGGUGUUAGGUAGAUUCUUUUUUCUGGUAAUUUGAUAAUGUUAGAGAUGCCAAACUUCUAUACUCCUAAAUAUUUCGUUGCGUAUUUAAUAAAGUAGGGUGCUCCCUUACAUAGUCAUAGUAUAAUUUUCACAAACAUCAAAUUGAAUAUUAUUAUAAUCUCAUUCAUAGUCUCUAUUAACAUUUUAACUGUCUCAAUAUAAUUUUCUUUAUAGUUAUUAUUUUUUGUUUUGUUUCAAAUACAAGAUCACAAGUUUUCAUGUCUCCUUGGUCUUACAUCUGUAGUGAAGUUCUUCAGCCUUUUUUAUGUUUUCCUGACUUUGACCUUUUGAAAAUUAUAAGUCAAGUAUUUUGUAGUCUUUCUUUAUUUUGAGUUUAUUUAACAGUUCCUUAAUAUUAGAUUCAGGUCAUGUGAUUCAGAUGCCCCCAAAUAACAUUGUGAUUUUUCAGUGCGUUUCACUAAGAGCAUCGUGAUGUCAGCUUAACUCAUAUUAGCAGUUUGAUGACUUGGUUAAAUUUGUGUUCUUCAUUAUAAAGUUUUGCUUGUCGCUUUGUAAAUAAUACAACAUCUACAAUCGACUGUGUAAAUAUUCAGUUCUUCUCAUCACACUUUCAUCAGCUCCCACUAAUGAUUUGUUAGCUUUCUUAUUCCAUCCAUGUAACUAGAUAUUAUUGUUCUUUAAUAAUGUAUUUUUUUCUCUACCCACACUUAUUUCUGUAUACUUAUUUUAUUUGAUGCAUAUAAUUUUUUAUUAUAAUUAUUAUUUUGUCAUUAUUUUUUGAAUGCCCAUACUAUUCCAGAUUUUACCAGUGGAUUUCUUUCAAGUGAGUUCCUGUGUGCUUUGGAAAUGUAUCUCAUGUUUCUUUCAGCACUUUGUUACUUUCUAGAAUAAUGAAAUUAUCUACCCUCAUGUUGCUUUCCUCCAUCCCCAGACUCAGCAGUUUCUCCAGAGAUCCAUUUCCUUUUAGCGGAUAAUAGAAUAGGAAACCAAUAUAUAAAUGGUAACUAUACUUGAUGCUUUGAGUACGUCAUUGCUUCAGUACCCUUCUGGUGGAUGGAGGAGUGCGGACAUCCACAUACGCACACGUACGCUCAUUUUCACAUCUUGGAAUCCCUUUACCUGCUUAUGAUAUUAAAUAUCAUGGUUUUAUAUCAGUACUGCUAAUUGCAAUCCAAGUACUCAAGGUUCAUUCUAAUUUCCUCUUCUGUAUUUAUAACUCUUUUCUUCUGGUUUUGCUCAAUUUAUUUAUUCCUCCACUUCAGGAUACACACAAGAUAAUUUUGUAAGUGUUAACUUGUAUUGUGCACAAUAUAGUUUUGCUCAGCGAACUAUGAACUGCCUUCUUUAUCUCUGCCUCUAAUAUAUUUUGCCCCAAUUUCUUACCUCCACAUACCUAGAAGACCAAAUUUUAAAAUGUGACACUGCAAUUUCCCCCUCUAAAAGUAUCUGUGGCCUGACCCGCCUGCACAGAGCUGCCUUAGCUGGCACUGCCGCUCACAGCCUCUCCUUCCCUUUGCUUACAGUGUGAGUGCACCAGGCUUCUCACCACUUCUGAGCAAUCCGCAGCUUUGUGUGUCUAUGCCUCUUUGCACUUUUCCCAUCACCUGAAUUCUUCUUCUCUCCCCCACUUUUUAACCUCUCAGGCAAGGUUUGGUUUUCCCUAUCUGGUAUCCUCCACUCAUUGCUCAAAUUCCAGCUCAGUUAUCACUGGCCCUGUGAAGAUGACCUGCCCUUUCCAGAAAGAUUUAAUAUGGCCCUCUUCUGGCCAUCAGCCUUUUAACCUUCUUCUGUUUGCAUUAUUCACCCACCAGACAUUGUAGUCAGGAGGCAGAGGUGGAACUCAGUAUCAUAUGCUCUUAGCAAAGGAUGUGAGGUGUGAAAGUCCUGUGGUUGUGUAUCUCAGCAUAUUUGUGUAAUAGAUUGUAUUUUUAACUUAACUACCUUAGUAAUGAACUUGUUUAUAAGGUUUGUUUGUUUCAAGUAAAACUAGAGGUCCUUGAGAAUCUACACGACCCUGAAUUUUCCAGAGUGGUCUAGUACUUUGCAGGUCCUCGAUAUUUGCUUUGGAGCACAAAAUUUCAAAAUUUAAAAGGGAAGGCCUCCUCUUUACUUAUACACACAUACAUCUUGGCUCAGCACUUGCCCCCUCUGUCCCUGAACAGGGCAUGGUCCCCUCCCGAGCCCAGAUGGGCUCAGGAUGCCCCUGCCUGCCUGUGAAUGUGGCCCGUCCUGCUUUGUGUGCCUUCUUAUUCUGCGUACGUCCCCAAGGUGCAGUGGCAUGUUCUGCAGAGCCCAGUGAUCAAUAGCACAGAGAGGACAGACAGGAGCGGUUAUGAAGAGGAGGACAGUGUCCAGACAUCAUAGCCCAUAAUGUUUAAUUUAGGGUAGUGUUUUCACCCGAUGCCAUCACCCAAGGUUUCUCUUGGGUUUAUUUGUGUUAUCACAACAGUGACGAUGCAGUUAGAGGCAGCCUUUGAAAGUGGAGUUUUGCUUGUUUCCUUUAUAUUUUACUGCUCUUUCGUGAAACAUUUCUAAAUAUCCAUGGGGCCCAAUUCUUACAAAAAUAAAUCAGAUAAACCUAGGGCUCUUGUCAAGUCAAACAUCUACAGUUUCUGGUAAUUAUGUAAUUUCCAACUCUGCUGCAGGGACCAUUGCUGCUAAGUCAGUCGUCAUAAAGAGAAAUGUUCCAGACCAAUCCUUAUUAGUGUGUCCUUCACUGAUAUAUGCAAAGUCUCUUUUUAAAAGCAGAGUUGUAACUUUUUUGGGUCUCUAGUGAAUGAGUUCUCAUCAUAACAAUUUAUAUCUGGAUAAUGUCAUUGUAAAACGUGAAAAUGGUAAACUAAAACCAAUGAUAUUAGGUUCUGCUGUUAUUAAUAAAAUCUGCCCUAGUUUUCACCAAUGUGCUAUGAUGGUAUUUUAUAAUACAACUCCGGAGUAAUGUCUUCUGCCAUUUUGAGUUGAUUUGGCCCA